UACAGGGAAUUGAAUGUUCGUCUGUCUCCUUUAACAGCCAGUGAACAGGAGAAACAGUAUGUUAGUCUUACGCUCUCAAUAAUAGUCGGACCAGAAUAUCCCAGUACAGUUCCCAAGCUUGAGAUGAAGAAUCCUCGUGGACUUGACGAAUCCGCCGUCAAUACUCUUCUCAAGCAGAUGAAGCUCAGAUGUGAGGAC